GACGAACCGUCCAAACGUUAUUCGGAAUUACUGGGCUUAAAGGGUGCGUAGGCGGCGCGGAAAGUAGGGUGUGAAAUCCCUCGGCUCAACCGAGGAACUGCGCCCUAAACUACCGUGCUUGAGGGAGAUAGAGGUGAGCGGAACUUGGGGUGGAGCGGUGAAAUGCGUUGAUAUCCUAAGGAACACCGGUGGCGAAAGCGGCUCACUGGAUCUCUUCUGACGCUGAGGCACGAAAGCUAGGGUAG
rnacentral:rRNA from 1 species